GACAGAGGGUGCGAGCGUUGUUCGGAAUUACUGGGCGUAAAGCGCGCGCAGGCGGUCCCUUAAGUCUGAUGUGAAAGCCCACGGCUCAACCGUGGAGGGUCAUUGGAAACUGGGGGGACUUGAGUACAGAAGAGGAAAGCGGAAUUCCACGUGUAGCGGUGAAAUGCGUAGAGAUGUGGAGGAACACCAGUGGCGAAGGCGGCUUUCUGGUCUGUAACUGACGCUGAGGCGCGAAAGCGUGGGGAGCAAACAGG
rnacentral:rRNA from 1 species